rnacentral:tRNA from 1 species
GAGCCCAUGGCUCAAUGGUAGAGCGUUCGGCUCAAAUACCAAAGGUCGCGGGUUCGAAUCCCAGGUUUCC